GGGGACCAUCCUCCAAGGCUAAAUACUCCUGACUGACCGAUAGUGAACCAGUACCGUGAGGGAAAGGCGAAAAGAACCCCGGCGAGGGGAGUGAAAAAGAACCUGAAACCGUGUACGUACAAGCAGUGGGAGCACCCUUUGGGGUGUGACUGCGUACCUUUUGUAUAAUGGGUCAGCGACUUAUAUUCUGUAGCAAGGUUAACCGUAUAGGGGAGCCGGAGGGAAACCGAGUCUUAACCGGGCGUUAAGUUGCAGGGUAUAGACCCGAAACCCGGUGAUCUAGCCAUGGGCAGGUUGAAGGUUGGGUAACACUAACUGGAGGACCGAACCGACUAAUGUUGAAAAAUUAGCGGAUGACCUGUGGCUGGGGGUGAAAGGCCAAUCAAACCGGGAGAUAGCUGGUUCUCCCCGAAAGCUAUUUAGGUAGCGCCUCGUGAAUUCAUCUCCGGGGGUAGAGCACUGUUUCGGCUAGGGGGCCAUCCCGGCUUACCAACCCGAUGCAAACUGCGAAUACCGGAGAAUGUUAUCACGGGAGACACACGGCGGGUGCUAACGUCCGUCGUGAAGAGGGAAACAACCCAGACCGCCAGCUAAGGUCCCAAAGUCAUGGUUAAGUGGGAAACGAUGUGGGAAGGCCCAGACAGCCAGGAUGUUGGCUUAGAAGCAGCCAUCAUUUAAAGAAAGCGUAAUAGCUCACUGGUCGAGUCGGCCUGCGCGGAAGAUGUAACGGGGCUAAACCAUGCACCGAAGCUGCGGCAGCGACGCUGAUGCGUUGUUGGGUAGGGGAGCGUUCUGUAAGCCUGCGAAGGUGGCCUGUGAGGGUUGCUGGAGGUAUCAGAAGUGCGAAUGCUGACAUAAGUAACGAUAAAGCGGGUGAAAAGCCCGCUCGCCGGAAGACCAAGGGUUCCUGUCCAACGUUAAUCGGGGCAGGGUGAGUCGACCCCUAAGGCGAGGCCGAAAGGCGUAGUCGAUGGGAAACGGGUUAAUAUUCCCGUACUUGGUGUUACUGCGAAGGGGGGACGGAGAAGGCUAUGUUGGCCGGGCGACGGUUGUCCCGGUUUAAGCGUGUAGGUGUGUGUUCCAGGUAAAUCCGGUUCACUUUAACACUGAGGCGUGAUGACGAGGCACUACGGUGCUGAAGCAACAAAUGCCCUGCUUCCAGGAAAAGCCUCUAAGCAUCAGGUAACAUCAAAUCGUACCCCAAACCGACACAGGUGGUCAGGUAGAGAAUACCAAGGCGCUUGAGAGAACUCGGGUGAAGGAACUAGGCAAAAUGGUGCCGUAACUUCGGGAGAAGGCACGCUGACACGUAGGUGAAGUGAUUUACUCAUGGAGCUGAAGUCAGUCGAAGAUACCAGCUGGCUGCAACUGUUUAUUAAAAACACAGCACUGUGCAAACACGAAAGUGGACGUAUACGGUGUGACGCCUGCCCGGUGCCGGAAGGUUAAUUGAUGGGGUCAGCGCAAGCGAAGCUCCUGAUCGAAGCCCCGGUAAACGGCGGCCGUAACUAUAACGGUCCUAAGGUAGCGAAAUUCCUUGUCGGGUAAGUUCCGACCUGCACGAAUGGCGUAAUGAUGGCCAGGCUGUCUCCACCCGAGACUCAGUGAAAUUGAACUCGCUGUGAAGAUGCAGUGUACCCGCGGCAAGACGGAAAGACCCCGUGAACCUUUACUAUAGCUUGACACUGAACAUUGAGCCUUGAUGUGUAGGAUAGGUGGGAGGCUUUGAAGUGUGGACGCCAGUCUGCAUGGAGCCGACCUUGAAAUACCACCCUUUAAUGUUUGAUGUUCUAACGUGGACCCGUGAUCCGGGUUGCGGACAGUGUCUGGUGGGUAGUUUGACUGGGGCGGUCUCCUCCUAAAGAGUAACGGAGGAGCACGAAGGUUGGCUAAUCCUGGUCGGACAUCAGGAGGUUAGUGCAAUGGCAUAAGCCAGCUUGACUGCGAGCGUGACGGCGCGAGCAGGUGCGAAAGCAGGUCAUAGUGAUCCGGUGGUUCUGAAUGGAAGGGCCAUCGCUCAACGGAUAAAAGGUACUCCGGGGAUAACAGGCUGAUACCGCCCAAGAGUUCAUAUCGACGGCGGUGUUUGGCACCUCGAUGUCGGCUCAUCACAUCCUGGGGCUGAAGUAGGUCCCAAGGGUAUGGCUGUUCGCCAUUUAAAGUGGUACGCGAGCUGGGUUUAGAACGUCGUGAGACAGUUCGGUCCCUAUCUGCCGUGGGCGCUGGAGAACUGAGGGGGGCUGCUCCUAGUACGAGAGGACCGGAGUGGACGCAUCACUGGUGUUCGGGUUGUCAUGCCAAUGGCACUGCCCGGUAGCUAAAUGCGGAAGAGAUAAGUGCUGAAAGCAUCUAAGCACGAAACUUGCCCCGAGAUGAGUUCUCCCUGAGACUUUAGGUCUCCUGAAGGAACGUUGAAGACGACG
rnacentral:rRNA from 1 species